AUGGCCAUCCGAAGGAAGGGGUCUUCAGGCGAGCAGUUCACAUGCCUAGCGUGUGUCUGGAACUUUAGGGGCUCUGUAUAUCAUAGGCUGUUCCAUAGCACGUCCCAUACAAAGGGCCUUCCACUGUCAGCAGGUGCGGAGGAAGGCCAGAGGAAGAACUCCAGAAACGUUGUCCUCUGGAGAUUUAGAUAUUUAGAUACCUGACAUAGAGGGACCCAUAAAACCCAGGGAGAGGAGCCUCAAGUGUCCCCUGAAGAUAUUCACGUUCUUCCUCUACCUCUCCUCAAAAUCCCUACAGGAAAGGAAAGGUGCCAAAAGAGUAAGCAGAGCGCUGGGGAGCGGCUCCAGUCAGAAGAGUGGAUUCCAGUCAGAAGAGCGCUUGCUUAUAUUUGAUUUUGCAGAAAUCACAUUAAAAAGCUGCGUGUGGUGGUGCAAGUACUUGUAAUCUCAGAGCUGGGAAAGUCGAAACGCACAGCUAGACAGUCUCGGCAUAGCAAAAGGCUCAAGCGAAAGACGCUGUCUGAAAAACAACAAAAAAAAGUGAGGCUGCCGAGGUGCUCGUGGAUGACGGCACUUGCAGAUAAGCAUGACGAUAUGGAUUUGAUCUCUGGAACGCACCAAGUGGAACAAGAGCACCAACGCCCUCGAGCUGUCCUCUGACAUCACAGUGGGCUGAGCACUUCCCCAUUCCCACACAACAAACAAAUACAUGUAAUUUAAAAAAGAAAAAGAAAACAAGCUGGAAAGCACCUAAGGAACAACAUUGGAGGUAGAUGACUGGUUUCCAGAGAUGGACGCACAUACCCACGCACGCAUGCACGCACGCACACACGCACAUGCAGCACGCACAGAAAGAUUGACAAGCAGCUCCAUGAUCCUCCUGCCAGUCUCUUGGAUAAGGGCAGGCUGGUGCUAGGCAGGCGGUGGUGUUAGGUCCCGUCCAACCUACAAGUCCUGGACCAUAAUGGAGGG
rnacentral:lncRNA from 1 species